ensembl:lncRNA
ACCUUUGCUCUCCCUCCGCCCCCUGGCCCCAGCAGCCCCGUCUCCUGUAAUAAAAGCCCUCUCCAUUUCCACAGACGUAGCCAGUCACUGCCCUGCACGCCAGAAGACAUCCAGUCUCUGCGUGGCACUGCUGACAAUGGGAAAUGUGAAAAUACUCCAAGUGUUAUGGACACAGAUGUAAAUCCAGUCAAUGGAAAUUUGAUGGACGUGGGAAGGGACAGUUUGUUGGCUAUGAGCAACGAGAGCAUUGCAGAUCUGCAUAAUAUUAGUGAGGUUUUUAAUACACCCGGUGACAAUGUUAGGCUUUCAGAUCCUAAGCAGGACAACAAGGAGGAGAAUCUUGAAAUGGUCAGUCAAGAAGCUGUAGCUGAUGACUCUGGUCUUCCAUUAGAUCUAGAGCUGAUGUCUCCAAACCGAUCGAGGUUAGGGGAAAGCAUUGAGGAGCCAAUGGACUGCACCAGCUCUCCUGAUACACUAGAUGGCGCCAUGGCUACUUCAACCAAACUUUUCUCCAAUGGCUGGAGCUCCCCGGUCUCAAACGGGCCACCCUCAUUACCUCCUUUACUAGACACGGACAACAACAAUGGCACCAUUCUUAUAAAUCGACCUCUGGGAUGGGGGGUUAAUAACUCCAAUGGUGCCACGACCCCUCUUACGCCUCCGGAACAGGAUGAGGUCAUAGCCUGUCCGGGUUGCUGCCUAGCAGGGAUGAGUUUCCCCUCUAUUUGCACACGUGGACCUCGACAGACCCCUUAUAAGAACUUGAAUGGCGAUGCGGCUGGGAAAAGGCUUUUGUGCAAAGCUUUGCCGCCUUCGCCUACAGAGCCAAACAUUGCUCUGCCUGGCACUCGGACAUAAAAGAUGCAUGAUAUGUAGGUGAAGCGCUACCUUUAAAGUGGAUGCUACUGCUUAAUGCACUCAAACUAAAACCGAGCUGAAAAAUGUCAUUCUGAAGAGAAAGAAAAUGCUAUGUAUUAUUGUUUAGACUAGGUGGAUCAUUUAGUAUUCUGAUCCUAGUCCUAGUCCUCUAAACUUGAACAC